GGCUCGUUGGUCUGGGGCAUGAUUCUCGCUUUGGGUGUGAGAGGUCCUGGGUUCAAAUCCUGGACAAGCCC
rnacentral:tRNA from 1 species